CGCUGGCGGCGUGCCUAAUACAUGCAAGUCGAACGGCUUUUCUAUGGAAGCUUGCUUCCACUGAGAAGAUAGUGGCGAACGGGUGAGUAACACGUGGGUAACCUGCCCAUAAGAGGGGGAUAACAUCCGGAAACGGGUGCUAAUACCGCAUAGUUUUCUUGAUCGCAUGAUUGAGAAAGGAAAGACGGCCUUUGUGCUGUCGCUUAUGGAUGGACCCGCGGCGUAUUAGUUAGUUGGUGAGGUAACGGCUCACCAAGACGAUGAUACGUAGCCGACCUGAGAGGGUGAUCGGCCACAUUGGGACUGAGACACGGCCCAAACUCCUACGGGAGGCAGCAGUAGGGAAUCUUCCGCAAUGGACGAAAGUCUGACGGAGCAACGCCGCGUGAGUGAAGAAAAGGUUUUCGGAUCGUAAAACUCUGUUGUCAGAGAAGAACAAGUUGGAGAGUAACUGCUCCAGCCUUGACGGUAUCUGACCAGAAAGCCACGGCUAACUACGUGCCAGCAGCGGC
rnacentral:rRNA from 1 species